UCCGAUAUGGUGUAGUGGCUAACAUUAUCGCCUCUCACAGAAAAGUGUAUCGCGAUAGCCCGGGGUUCGAUUCCCCGUGUCGGAA
rfam:Lentinula edodes NBRC 111202 DNA, contig: scaffold1940.